rnacentral:lncRNA from 1 species
CGCCGGGCCGCGGCGGGGCCACCCCCGGAGGAAGGGCAGCGGCCGAGGGCGGAGCUCGAGCCCGCACCGGCGCCGGGAGGCGGCACCUGGGUCCUUCCCCGGCUCCAUCACCCGGCGGCGGCCGCUGAACGGCGGAGCGGAGCGAGGCGAGAACCUUGAAGAAGUGGCAGAACAGCAGUGUGUCAGAUGCAGGAAGACUGACUUGCUCGCCGCCCUUUGAAUACGAUACAUACUGCAGCACCUUCAUCUCCCGUUUCCCUAUGGCAACUUGGCAGCACAAUGUUUAGAAGAUUGAGUUUGGUUUUUAC